GAUGAACGCUGGCGGCGUGCCUAAUACAUGCAAGUCGAGCGAACGGACGAGAAGCUUGCUUCUCUGAUGUUAGCGGCGGACGGGUGAGUAACACGUGGAUAACCUACCUAUAAGACUGGGAUAACUUCGGGAAACCGUAGCUAAUACCGGAUAAUAUUUUGAACCGCAUGGUUCAAAAGUGAAAGACGGUCUUGCUGUCACUUAUAGAUGGAUCCGCGCUGCAUUAGCUAGUUGGUAAGGUAACGGCUUACCAAGGCAACGAUGCAUAGCCGACCUGAGAGGGUGAUAGGCCACACUGGAACUGAGACACGGUCCAGACGCCUACGGGAGGCAGCAGUAUGGAAUCUUCCGCAAUGGGCGAAAGCCUGACGGAGCAACGCCGCGUGAGUGAUGAAGGUCUUCGGAGCGUAAAACUCUGUUAUUAGUGAAGAACAUAUGUGUAAGUAACUGUGCACAUCUUGACGGUACCUAAUCAGAAAGCCACGGCUAACUACGUG
rnacentral:rRNA from 1 species